rnacentral:rRNA from 1 species
CCUACGGGUGGCAGCAGUGGGGAAUAUUGGGCAAUGGGCGCAAGCCUGACCCAGCAACGCCGCGUGAAGGAAGAAGGCUUUCGGGUUGUAAACUUCUUUUCUUAGGGACGAAGCAAGUGACGGUACCCGAGGAAUAAGCCACGGCUAACUACGUGCCAGCAGCCGCGGUAAUACGUAGGUGGCAAGCGUUAUCCGGAUUUACUGGGUGUAAAGGGCGUGUAGGCGGGACUGCAAGUCAGAUGUGAAAUCCACGGGCUCAACCUGUGGCCUGCAUUUGAAACUGUAGUUCUUGAGUACUGGAGAGGCAUGCGGAAUUCCUAGUGUAGCGGUGAAAUGCGUAGAUAUAAGGAGGAACACCAGUGGCGAAGGCGGUCUGCUGGACAGCAACUGACGCUGAGGCGCGAAAGCGUGGGUAGCAAACAGGAUUAGAUACCCGAGUAGUC